CCUACGGGCGGCAGCAGUAGGGAAUCUUCCACAAUGGGCGAAAGCCUGAUGGAGCAACGCCGCGUGGGUGAAGAAGGUCUUCGGAUCGUAAAACCCUGUUGUUAGAGAAGAAAGUGCGUGAGAGUAACUGUUCACGUUUCGACGGUAUCUAAACAGAAAGCCACGGCUAACUACGUACCAGCCGCCGCGGUAAUAAGUAGGUGGCAAGCGUUAUCCGGAUUUAUUGGGAUUAAAGGGAAAGCCGGCGGGCUUUUAAGUCUGAUGUGAAAGCCUUCGGCUUAACCGGAGCAGUGCAGUGGAAACUGGGAGACUUGAGUGCAGAAGAGGAGAGUGGAACUCCAUGUGUAGCGGUGAAAUGCGUAGAUAUAUGGAAGAACACCAGUGGCGAAAGCGGCUCUCUGGUCUGUAACUGACGCUGAGGUUCGAAAGCGUGGGUAGCAAACAGGAUUAGAUACCCUGGUAGUC
rnacentral:rRNA from 1 species